rnacentral:rRNA from 1 species
GACGAACCGAGCGAACGUUGUUCGGAAUCACUGGGCUUAAAGGGCGCGUAGGCGGGCUGCCGCGUCCGGGGUGAAAUCCUCCGGCUCAACCGGAGAACGGCCCCGGGUACGGGCGGCCUCGAGGGGGGUAGGGGCGUGCGGAACUGUGGGUGUAGCGGUGAAAUGCGUAGAUAUUGGGAGGAACACCGGUGGCGAAGGCGGCCCUCUGGACCGAAACUGACACUGAAGCGCGAAAGCUAGGGGAGCAAACGGG